rnacentral:rRNA from 1 species
CAGUCGCCGCGGGAAUACGGAGGGUGCAAGCGUUACUCGGAAUCACUGGGCGUAAAGGACGCGUAGGCGGAUUAUCAAGUCUCUUGUGAAAUCCAACGGCUUAACCGUUAAACUGCUUGGGAAACUGAUAAUCUAGAGUAAGGGAGAGGCAGAUGGAAUUCUUGGUGUAGGGGUAAAAUCCGUAGAUAUCAAGAAGAAUACCUAUUGCGAAGGCGAUCUGCUGGAACUUAACUGACGCUAAUGCGUGAAAGCGUGGGGAGCAAACAGGAUUAGAUACCCGCGUAGUCCCUGUCUCUUAUAC